rnacentral:rRNA from 1 species
CCUGGAAACAGAUGCUAAUACCGGAUAACAACAGAUGAUGCCUAUCAACUGUUUAAAAGAUGGUUCUGCUAUCACUCUUGGAUGGACCUGCGGUGCAUUAGCUAGUUGGUAGGGUAACGGCCUACCAAGGCGAUGAUGCAUAGCCGAGUUGAGAGACUGAUCGGCCACAUUGGGACGGAGACACGGCCCAAACUCCUACGGGAGGCAGCAGAC